UCGCAGGCUGCAACUCGCCUGCGUGAAGUUGGAAUUGCUAGUAAUCGCGGAUCAGCAUGCCGCGGUGAAUACGUUCCCGGGCCUUGUACACACCGCCCGUCACACCAUGGGAGUUUGUAACACCCGAAGUCAGUAUCCUAACCGCAAGGGGGGAGCUGCCGAAGGUGGGAUAAGCGACUGGGGUGAAGUCGUAACAAGGUAGC
rnacentral:rRNA from 1 species